rnacentral:rRNA from 1 species
AUUGAACGCUGGCGGCAGGCCUAACACAUGCAAGUCGAGCGGCGCGGCGGACGGGUGAGUACUGCCUAGGAAUCUGCCUGGUAGUGGUGGUUCACGUCCGGAAACGGGCGCUAAUACCGCAUACUAUCAGAUGAGCCUAGGUCGGAUUAGCUGGUUGGUGGGGUAAAGGCCUACCAAGGCGACGGCCCGUAACUGGUCUGAGAGGAUGAUCAGUCAGACUGGAACUGAGACACGGUCCAGACUCCGACGGGAGGCAGCAGUGGGGAAUAUUGGACAAUGGGCGAAAGCCUGAUCCAACAAAGCCGCGUGUGUGAAGAAGGGCUUCGGAUUGUAAAGCACUUUAAGUUGGGAGGCGUUACCAACAGAAUAAGCACCGGCUAACUUCGUGCCAGCAGCCGCGGUAAUUC